UAAAAAAUCACAUUCUUGAAGCAAUGGAGUUAUGGAGGUGAUGGCGAUGGUGGUGGAAUUUCAUCAACCAUAGAUGGUAAAAUUUAAGAAUGGUAAAUCACAUUCUUAAAUAGGACAUUGACUUGCUUGAUAGAGAAAAGAAAUUUAGAAACCAAAAUAAUCUUUUCCCAAGCAAUUUACUAAUUUUCACCGAUUGACCAAAUCCUUUGAAUC
rnacentral:lncRNA from 1 species